GGUGCUGGAGACAUGAACUGAACCCAAAGCAAGCCUCGGACUCCAACCGUUAAAAAUCUUCUCUGGGAAUGAGCAUGUGUAGGCAACACCGAUACCAGGAUGCAGCCAGUGUGCGUGAGAAGCAGACGUGAGCAGAGAGGGUGAGAAAGAGGAAGAUGAGAAGAAAGUGAGGGAGAAUUAAGGAGCUGAGUGGACAAAGGUGGAGAGAGAAUGCUGUGAUCUCCCAAACAUUCAUAAUUUU